AGAGGUGGGACAGUUUCUAUAAAAGCUUGAGCCUCGCCCGCCCCUGUCUUUUCGGGGUCGAGUCCGAGGGGGAAGAGGUUUGUUAAUACGUUCGCCAUGUGCUACGAUCUUGGGACGAACUGAGCCACGAGCGUGGCUUUGAGGGCCGUCCGAACGCUGCAGGCCGGCCAGGUCCCUGGGCGUCCAGGCCUGGCCUACGCACCACUUUGUCCCUUAGCGUUUAAAGGUUUCUUCCCGAAUCUCAGGCCCUCAGCUACCUGCAGGUUUCGUCGCGAGCCGGCUGCAAGUUUUGAACCUAAGUAAACCUCAAUCCGGAGGGCCUAGCGGUAAGGUGGGCGCUGUGUCUAUUGAAGUGCUUAGCAAUAAAGAAAGGUAGUGAGUUGAUUCGGUUUUC
rnacentral:lncRNA from 1 species